UAACCUGCCCAAGAGACUGGGAUAACACCUGGAAACAGAUGCUAAUACCGGAUAACAACACUAGACGCAUGUCUAGAGUUUAAAAGAUGGUUCUGCUAUCACUCUUGGAUGGACCUGCGGUGCAUUAGCUAGUUGGUAAGGUAACGGCUUACCAAGGCAAUGAUGCAUAGCCGAGUUGAGAGACUGAUCGGCCACAUUGGGACUGAGACACGGCCCAAACUCCUACGGAAGGCAGCAG
rnacentral:rRNA from 1 species